rnacentral:tRNA from 1 species
AGGGGCGUAGUUUAAUUGGUAGAGCACCGGUCUCCAAAACCGGGUGUUGGGAGUUCGAGUCUCUCCGCCCCUGCCA